rnacentral:rRNA from 1 species
CCUACGGGAGGCAGCAGUGAGGAAUAUUGGUCAAUGGUCGGGAGACUGAACCAGCCAAGCCGCGUGAGGGAGGAAGGUACAGAGUAUCGUAAACCUCUUUUGUCAGGGAACAAAGACUGGGACGCGUCCCCGGAUGAGUGUACCUGAAGAAAAAGCAUCGGCUAACUCCGUGCCAGCAGCCGCGGUAAUACGGGGGAUGCGAACGUUAUCCGGAUUUAUUGGGUUUAAGGGGUGCGCAGGCGGUCUGUUAAGUCGGCGGUAAAAGCCCGGGGUUCAACCCCGGCCCGCCGUUGAAACUGGCAGUCUCGAGUAGGAGAGAAGUAUGCGGAAUGCGCGGUGUAGCGGUGAAAUGCAUAGAUAUCGCGCAGAACUCCGAUUGCGAAGGCAGCAUGCCGGCUCCACACUGACGCUGAGGCACGAAAGCGUGGGUAUCGAACAGGAUUAGAUACCCUAGUAGUC